rnacentral:rRNA from 1 species
UACAGAGGUCUCAAGCGUUGUUCGGAUUCAUUGGGCGUAAAGGGUGCGUAGGCGGCGCGGUAAGUCGGGUGUGAAAUCUCGGAGCUUAACUCCGAAACUGCAUUCGAUACUGCCGUGCUUGAGGACUGGAGAGGAGACUGGAAUUUACGGUGUAGCGGUGAAAUGCGUAGAUAUCGUAAGGAAGACCAGUGGCGAAGGCGGCGCUCUGGGCCGGAACUGACGCUGAGGAGCGAAAGCGUGGGUAGCAAACAGG